rnacentral:sRNA from 1 species
UUUAGGGCGGAUGGCAGCCAUGCUGAAGUGCGUGAUGAGCGGCAGUCAGGUGAAAGUAUUUGGGAAAGCAGUUCAAGCUCUAUCACGAAUUAGUGACGAGUUCUGGCUAGACCCAUCUAAAAAAGGUCUUGCUCUAAGAUGUGUGAAUUCUUCUCGGUCAGCAUAUGGAUGUGUCCUGUUCUCUCCUGUGUUUUUUCAACAUUAUCAAUGGUCAGCUUUAGUGAAAAUGAGUGAAAAUGAACUUGACACAACACUGAAUUUAAAAUGCAAAUUGGGAAUGAAGUCAAUUUUGCCCAUCUUUAGAUGUCUGAAUUCCCUUGAAAGAAAUAUAGAGAAGUGCAGAAUAUUCACCAGAUCUGAUAAAUGCAAAGUAGUUAUUCAAUUCUUCUACAGACAUGUUCAUUUAAUAGCAGAAUGAUUCAAAGAGCAUGAUUAAAAGCAUAGCAAGCCUUGACAUCACAAA